rnacentral:rRNA from 1 species
UACGUAGGGUGCAAGCGUUGUCCGGAAUUAUUGGGCGUAAAGAGCUCGUAGGCGGUCUGUUACGUCGACUGUGAAAACCCGAGGCUCAACCUCGGGCCUGCAGUCGAUACGGGCAGACUAGAGUUCGGUAGGGGAGACUGGAAUUCCUGGUGUAGCGGUGAAAUGCGCAGAUAUCAGGAGGAACACCGGUGGCGAAGGCGGGUCUCUGGGCCGAAACUGACGCUGAGGAGCGAAAGCGUGGGGAGCGAACAGG